rnacentral:rRNA from 1 species
UACGUAGGGGGCAAGCGUUGUCCGGAUUUAUUGGGCGUAAAGAGCGUGUAGGCGGCCAGUUAGGUCCGUUGUGAAAACUCGAGGCUCAACCUCGAGACGCCGAUGGAAACCAACUGGCUAGAGUCCGGAAGAGGAGAGUGGAAUUCCCGGUGUAGCGGUGAAAUGCGCAGAUAUCGGGAAGAACACCCGUGGCGAAGGCGGUUCUCUGGGACGGUACUGACGCUGAGACGCGAAAGCGUGGGGAGCGAACAGG